ACGGAACUCUGGAGAGACCAUUUUGGCACCGAAGGGGCAAGGUAGUCCUGCUUGAAAAAAGUAGAGCUACUGAAACUCUCAGGUAAAAGGACAGAGCGUUG
rnacentral:ncRNA from 1 species